UACGUAGGGUGCGAGCGUUGUCCGGAAUUAUUGGGCGUAAAGGGCGCGUAGGCGGCCGAUCGAAGUCGGGGUGAAAGCCUGUGGCUCAACCACAGAAUUGCCUUCGAUACUGUUUGGCUUGAGACCGGAAGAGGUAAGUGGAACUGCGAGUGUAGAGGUGAAAUUCGUAGAUAUUCGCGAAGAACACCAGUCGGCGAAGGCGGCUU
rnacentral:rRNA from 1 species